rnacentral:rRNA from 1 species
AUUGAACGCUGGCGGCAUGCCUUACACAUGCAAGUCGAACGGCAGCGGGCCCUUCGGGGUGCCGGCGAGUGGCGAACGGGUGAGUAAUGCAUCGGAACGUACCCGGGAGAGGGGGAUAACCGGCCGAAAGGCUGGCUAAUACCGCAUGAACUCGGAAGAGCAAAGCGGGGGACCUUCGGGCCUCGCGCUCUCGGAGCGGCCGAUGUCCGAUUAGGCUAGUUGGUGGGGUAAGGGCCCACCAAGGCGACGAUCGGUAGCGGGUCUGAGAGGACGAUCCGCCACACUGGGACUGAGACACGGCCCAGACUCCUACGGGAGGCAGCAGUGGGGAAUCUUGGACAAUGGGCGCAAGCCUGAUCCAGCAAUGCCGCGUGGGUGAAGAAGGCCUUCGGGUUGUAAAGCCCUUUCGGCGGGGAAGAAAUCGGUCAGGCGAAUAGUCUGGCCGGAUGACGGUACCCGCAGAAGAAGCACCGGCUAACUACGUGCCAGCAGCCGCGGUAAUACGUAGGGUGCGAGCGUUAAU